rnacentral:misc_RNA from 1 species
AUCCUGAGGUGCGAGCCGUGCUUGCGGCGAGCCUCGAAGGAUGCGGGCAAACAACGUCGCCCUUCGAGGGCCGCGCUUCGCGCUGCCACCUCAGGGUGACGUUGAUCCAUGACUUUGGACGAUAAGGNNNNUAUGCGAAUUCUCUGCACCAAUGACGACGGCAUUCACGCGCCGGGACUGAAAGUCAUCGAGGAAAUCGCAAGGCAGAUUUCCGAUGACGUCUGGGUGGUUGCGCCC